rnacentral:lncRNA from 1 species
UCUUUUCUUCUAUUACUUAAUCAUAUGUUGUUUGCAAAUAAUUCUAAAGAAGUAAAUGGAAAGGAGCGAAUGCAGCUACAUAAGGUUGUCUUAAGUUUUAACUCAUUUCAUUCCAUUUCUAGUUCCUUUCUACAUAAGUGCAGAGGAGAACUACACAUGUAAACUUCUAGCAUUUGUCACCAAUAUGAGUACAUCGUAAUCCGUUACUGUUUCAACACUCAGGGGUUUCAUGUCUGUAUUCUUAAAAAAAUAUUAUUUGUUCUCUCUUUUUUUAGCAAUGCAUCAGUCUCUACUGUUCUUAUCUAUUAUUCUAUAUUCUGCGUCUCCAUCCAGAUUCUCGUGUAUACCACGAGGGUCCGGAUCGGGGUCUUGUUUAUUUCGGUGCUAUUAAAAUUGUUAUGUCACUUUUUUCAAUUUUAUUUAUCUAACUCAUUAUUCUUUCUCUAUUCUUUAUAUUUUAGCAUCCCAAUAUAUUUUACUUACUGAUGUUGAGUUAUAUUACGACGUUUAUCUCUGAUUUAUAUACUGGUUACCAAUGUACGUAGAUGACAAAUUGGUG